rnacentral:rRNA from 1 species
GAUGAACGCUAGCUACAGGCUUAACACAUGCAAGUCGAGGGGUAACGAGAGGAAAGCUUGCUUUCCUUGUCGACGACCGGCGCACGGGUGAGUAACGCGUAUCCAACCUGCCCCCAACUAGGGAAUAACCUUGCGAAAGUAAGACUAAUACCCUAUAAUUUCCUCAGAUGACAUCUGACGAGGAAUAAAGAUUUAUCGGUUGGGGAUGGGGAUGCGUCUGAUUAGCUUGUUGGGGGGGUAACGGCCCACCAAGGCAACGAUCAGUAGGGGUUCUGAGAGGAAGGUCCCCCACAUUGGAACUGAGACACGGUCCAAACUCCUACGGGAGGCAGCAGUGAGGAAUAUUGGUCAAUGGGCGGAAGCCUGAACCAGCCAAGUAGCGUGCAGGAUGACGGCCCUAUGGGUUGUAAACUGCUUUUAUACAGGAAUAAAGUUAGCCACGUGUGGUUAUUUGUAGGUACUGUAUGAAUAAGGACCGGCUAAUUCCGUGCCAGCCGCCGCAGUAA